UACCAGUUUGAAAUGCUUGUUUAAUAUGCAAUAGAAAUGCAAUUUCACUGAGGUCUAAUUAUUCUUCACCUCUUCCCUGAUCAGCUUGCUGCAUGAGUGCCUCUCUCUUUUUUCCUUAAAAAAAAUACCCCACACCUCAUUUUUCUGCAUUUCUCUCAUACCUUUUCAGCACUUAAUUCCAGGCAUCUAGUGAUCUGUCUCUGACUUCACCAUUACAACAUGAUGACUUCAUAGUUGGGUUCAACGUGUCAAGAAUACUAUUAAUCUUUCCCUGCUUGGGUUCAUAUAACUCUCAGGUGAGCAAAGAACAUCUUUCCAGAGCAAGUCUGUAAAAAGCUCCUGCCUUCUUGAAAAUUGCUCUGAAGAAGACACACCUUUACCACAGGGCCUACUGGAAACUGCCAAAUGAUAAUGGCCAGGAAGAGGGGCGGUGUUCUGUCAAAGGAUCUCAUUUACUUAAUUGUUUAGCCAAAAGCUGAAAUGUCUGGAAACCACAAAGUCAUGGCCCUUAGAAGUCCGCAUUGUUCUGUACUCUCACAACAUUAUAAUAGAGUGAUUUCAUCACCGUUAUUUUCAUCUUUUCUCUCCUUCAGUUCUUUUUAAAUAGUAAACUAGUGAGGCUGUCCUAUAGAAUGAUGGCUCUAUAGAAUAUAUUGAAUAUCCUUUACUGGACCAAGUAAUUGUAUAAAAUAGGAAUGGUCUCCAAACCUUAACUUUAGGGAGAGUUGUUUAGAGCAACAACAACGUUAAAAUCCUCCUCUGCCUUUAGCAACAGCCCAAUAUGCGGAUGUAGUCGGAGAAGCUUAACCGGCUAAUAUGUCUCUGGAUCAGGCUAGUGAUAUAGGCACAGUAAAAAUAAAUAAAUUUAAGUGGCAAGUCUAGUUUCUGACCAGAGGCUAUAGCAUAACAAAAAUGACCCUGAACAACUUAGCAUCAUCAGCAAAUUUGGCUACCGCACUGCUUACUCCUAGCUCCAGCUCAUUUAUGAACAAGUUAAAAAGCACAAUGCAGAUGACAGAAUUAGAUAAGCUUAUGCUAUGCACUUCUGUAUUGAAUAAACAUGACGGAAAACA